rnacentral:rRNA from 1 species
UACGAAGGGGGCGAGCGUUGUUCGGAAUUACUGGGCGUAAAGAGCGCGCAGGCGGCUGGUCAAGUCCGAUGUGAAAUCUCCCGGCUCAACUGGGAAACUGCAUCGGAAACUGAUCGGCUUGAAGGUGGGAGAGGGUAGUGGAAUUCCCGGUGUAGUGGUGAAAUGCGUAGAGAUCGGCAGGAACACCCAGGGGGAAACCAGCCGACUGGGCAUCUACUGACGCUGAGGUGCGAGAGCGUGGGGAGCGAACCGGG